rnacentral:rRNA from 1 species
UACGUAGGGUCCGAGCGUUGUCCGGAAUUAUUGGGCGUAAAGGGCUCGUAGGCGGUCUGUUGCGUCGGGAGUGAAAACUUACAGCUUAACUGUGAGCGUGCUUCCGAUACGGGCAGACUUGAGGUAUUCAGGGGAGAACGGAAUUCCUGGUGUAGCGGUGAAAUGCGCAGAUAUCAGGAGGAACACCGGUGGCGAAGGCGGUUCUCUGGGAAUAGCCUGACGCUGAGGAGCGAAAGUGUGGGGAGCGAACAGG